GUACCCACAACAGUCGCCGCAGCGAUCAUGGCAACUUCUUGCAAUUACGGUCGUACCAACCGUACUGGCAAGGAUACAGGGCCUAAAUUUAUACAGGUGAGUCACUCUUUAUCGAGGAAUAAAUAGGCGUCCAUUCUGUAUAUUUAGUUGACCAUUAUGAAGUGUUUUUUUGCCCAAAACUAGCACUGGAUGCAGGUUGCUUGAACGCUCUUCCGACGUUCAAUCGAGCACACUUGCAUUUUACCCGGCGGCAAAUACGGUUUGAGUGCAUAACAUGCUUGAAAGAACAUGUUACACUACACAGGCAGUGUUGUCAUCAAUAUAUGUGCAAGCACUCAAGUGCUUUUUCGCAUGCACUGCUACCAUGGUACACGGUGUUCUCUGCGGAAGCAAGUGCCACAUUCAUUUCUUUGAAUUACCUUCGCGCACAAGUUCGGUAUUACGUCAUGAUGAGACCACCAUUGUCACCUUUUUUCAUGUAUUGGUAUUGUUUUGUGCCUUGGUUUGAUUUGUGACAAAGAAUCCUACGUAACGGUGGUGUGGCGCGACUUGAAUAACGCCUUUGUGUCUGAGCUAUAUCGUCAGCUUGUUACGAUAGUAAUAAUUUGUAGCGUGUCGUGCUAUUUGUAGCAGUUUUUAAGGCAAAAGUGGUCUCUCAAUACAGGUUUCGUCAUGAGGGCUACCCAGUGAAUAAUCUGUGCAGUGUGAUACGGCUGGGUGUACAGGUUACUUCACAGCUGCCUCGACAUACUCAAGAAAUGGGUGCAGAACCUGCGUAAUGCCCACAAACUUUGACUACCACAGCACCUCCAGGAAGUAAAGGCAUAUGUGUCACAUGGGAUUUUUAAAGGCAUUCACAGUAUAUAAUACCUUGUAUGAACCGUUGUAGGUCUAAGCAGCCUCUACAGUACACUCUCAGAAAUUAAAACUUGUCAGGGAACUGUGAUAAUUGUUUCAGUUAAUAGGUAUGCACAUACACGCUAUAAGAAGAAAAUUAUUUAUUGAGAAUGCACUUCUCUGGCUACUCAUGUUGUUUACAUCUACUGUUGAUCACAUUCAUUUAUCACAUAUUAUAUUCUUAUAUAUUAUUAUUAUAUUAUCACAUAUUCGAUCACAUUAAAUUUAAAAUUUAGCAUAUAUGAGGAAAUAUCACGAGGGAAGUCGCUAUUCAUUGCUCAUUCCAACCUAAAAUUGAGAGAGUGUACCUCACCAUUGUCAUUCCUAAAAUAUAUAUUGCCAUUGUAGCAAGGUCACAAAACAAUAAAUGAAGUCUUUUGCGAA